AUUCAGCUGACGAGUCCUAAAAUAGGACGGAACGCGUGUCAAACUGGAC
rnacentral:hammerhead_ribozyme from 1 species